rnacentral:lncRNA from 10 species
CUUUCUCACAAUCUGUCAGAUGCCUCCAAAGGCCCUGAGGUGAUAACUACAGGAUAAAAAUAUUCACUUAAAUUAGUGGUUUUCAACACUGGCUGUAAAACAGAAUCAUAUGUGGGUUCUUAAAAGACUGAUGCUAGGGGCUUAUCCCAGACCAAUGGAAAUGGACUCUCUGGAGGUGAAAACCAGGUAAACUGGCCUCAAAAAAGUGGAUAAUAUUCUAACAUGGGAAUGCAAAACCAUCAUGCCUGGAAGAUCACUGCAUCAAGGAUAUAUGAUUGUGUGGCCUGACAAUCUCAGAAAGUAAAAGCAAAGAAAUUGAAAGACAUGGAAAGAACUAGGCCGGGACCAGCACUGGGCCUUAAUAACCAGUUCACUGAGAUGGUAGGUGCAUUUCUUCUCAUCUCAGAGGAUGUUUCUCUUCCACAGGAAGAGGAAGGAACCAGUUGUUACUGGAUGUGUGGGCUGAGAGCUGUCGGGCAUUUUCAGCAUGCCUCGGUCUCAGCUGUGGGAACUGGGGAUGCAGCUUAGAUUCCCAGGCCCGGGACAGUCGGUAUUACUGCAGUAGUCCGGGGCGUCACAGUUUAGAAAUACAGUAUCUCAGCAAGUUGGAAGGCAGAAAUAAUACCUGGAACACCUCCAGUUCCCAGAAACGUGCUAAUUUUCUAAAGGAAAUUCUAAAAAGUAUUUAUUGGGCUCCCAAAUAGCAUGAUUUAUAAAUCCUUUUGUAAAUUUUCCUUUUUUUUUUCUGUCUUCACAUUUUAUACGGCAGAGUUCAAGUCCCAAAUCACGUUUGUCAAUAGGAGUAAGGACAAGUUUCACUGCAUAAAGUAUUCUUUAACUAGGACUAUUUUUAAAAACUUUAAGAGUAUCAAAUUUUUGGUAAAUUCAUUAAUAUGUUUUCUUUCCUUGUGACUUUGAAACUUAAAGAGAAAGAAGGUCAAAUUAGCAUAUUUGUCAGUAUAUCUUAAAAAAAUUGGGACUUAGUGAUUAUUACUAUUUUUAUUAAAAAGCAUAUUUUAUUUGAAGGGGGGGAAAAGAAGCCUCUGGCUUUCACUGUUAAUCUUUUAUUACGGUGAUACUGUUAGUAAACUUUACAGCUAUACAGAUUAUCUAUCUUGAAAAAAAAAUAAACCACGUUCCUUUAACAAACUAAAACACUUUAGCAUUUUAGUUGUUUUAUUUAUUUUUUUACAAUCCCAAAUCAAUUUUUUUUAAAAGGUCAGCCAUCACAUUCGCAACUGUUAGCAGUUUUUAUAACAUAUGGGUCAUGAAGUACUUCAAAAGCAAGGAUCCAACUAAUUUGCAAAUAGUCUCUUUCCAGUCUCUAAUAUUUUCUCUCCUUUCUCUAUUUUAAAGAUUGUAUCUGAAAAAAUAUUAAUGUGUUUUCUGUUUCUAAAUGGCAAGAGAUCUUUGAAAAUGUUGUGUUUUUCCUCAUUUACUUGUUAGUUAUCAUGUAUGUUCUGUUUUUUAAAUGUCUUUG